AGAGAGAGAGAGAGAGAGAGAGAGAGAGAGAAGAAGAAGAAGAAGAAGAAGAAGAAGAAAACCUCAGUGUUGCUGUGACACACGUUUGGAGAUCCAAGCUUUAUUUUAGGCAUGGAAGCAUCAAAUCCUCACCACGAGAUGGAGAUUGACCAAGUCCAAUUUCAAAACUCGGAUAUGAUCACCCACUUCCCACCAAAUGUCAUUGAUAUCAUCCUCAUGUGCUUGCCUUUGAGAGAUGCAGUGAGGAUGAGCAUCUUAUCUUGUGAUUGGAGAUACAGGUGGGUCACAAUCCCACAACUUACAUUUGACCAGCGAAGUUUCCCACCAGACUGCAAUGAGCUUAAGCCUGUGAAUGCUGUUGAUCAAGUUCUCUUAGUACAUAGAGGCCCAAUUCAGGAGUUCAAGUGCCAGAAUUACGUA